CUUCACUCUGGCUUGCUGAUAGUUUUAUCUUGCAGCAUUAUUCUGAACGUUGCUCUCAUUUGUAUAAGAUGUAAACUGACCUGUACACACUGUGCAGAUGAAAAGAACAGUGAUAUAUCAAAAGUGGAAUGGUCACGCAAGCAAUGCCAUGACGAGGACACACUGAAUUACGCUGCCCUGAACCUUAAGAAGCCAAAACCCAGGAGACAGAAGAAAGACGGGAAUAAUGACACUCUGUAUUCUGACCUCCGCUACAGAGAUUAUGAAUAAAGAUGCUUCUCAUUCAUGUCAGUCACACAGAGUGUUCAGGGUGUAGCUUUAAUAAUGUUCAGAGGAGGGCAGGGGAGCCAGUGCUUCUGAGACUGAAUCACGGGAUUUUACGGAGCACCGGUGCUGAGUUUGGUGUCAGUGUGUUUGGGGCGCAUUUUUACUGGAAGUGCAAAUG